rnacentral:rRNA from 1 species
AGAGCGAACGCUGGCGGCAGGCCUAACACAUGCAAGUCGAGCGCCCCGCAAGGGGAGCGGCAGACGGGAGAGUAACACGUGGGAACGUACCCUUCAGUUCGGAACAACCCAGGGAAACUUGGGCUAAUACCGAAUACGUCCGUAAGGAGAAAGAUUUAUCGCUGAAGGAUCGGCCCGCGUCUGAUUAGCUAGUUGGUGAGGUAACGGCUCACCAAGGCUACGAUCAGUAGCUGGUCUGAGAGGAUGAUCAGCCUCACUGGGACUGAGACACGGCCCAGACUCCUACGGGAGGCAGCAGUGGGGAAUAUUGGACAAUGGGCGCAAGCCUGAUCCAGCCAUGCCGCGUGGAUGAUGAAGGCCUUAGGGUUGUAAAGUCCUUUCGACGGGGAAGAUAAUGACGGUAGCGGGAGAAGAAGCCCGGCUAACUUCGUGCCAGCAGCCGC